rnacentral:rRNA from 1 species
UACGGCUCAGUAACACGUAGUCAACCUAACCUAUGGACGGGAAUAACCUCGGGAAACUGAGUAUAAUGCCCGAUAGAACAUUAUGCCUGGAAUGGUUUAUGUUCCAAAUGAUUUAUCGCCGUAGGAUGGGACUGCGGCCUAUCAGUUUGUUGGUGAGGUAAUGGCCCACCAAGACUAUUACAGGUACGGGCUCUGAGAGGAGUAGCCCGGAGAUGGGUACUGAGACACGGACCCAGGCCCUAUGGGGCGCAGCAGGCGAGAAAACUUUGCAAUGUGCGAAAGCACGACAAGGUUAAUCCGAGUGGUUUCUGCUAAAGGAACCUUUUGUUAGUCCUAGAAACACUAACGAAUAAGGGGUGGGCAAGUUCUGGUGUCAGCCGCCGCGGUAAAACCAGCACCUCAAGUGGUCAGGAUGAUUAUUGGGCCUAAAGCAUCCGUAGCCGGCUCUGUAAGUUUUCGGUUAAAUCUGUACGCUCAACGUACAGGCUGCCGGGAAUACUGCAGAGCUAGGGAGUGGGAGAGGUAGACGGUACUCGGGAGGAAGGGGUAAAAUCCUUUGAUCUCUCGAUGACCACCUGUGGCGAAGGCGGUCUACCAGAACACGUCCGACGGUGAGGGAUGAAAGCUGGGGGAGCAAACCGGAUUAGAUACCCGGGUAGUCCCAGCUGUAAACUAUGCAAACUCAGUGAUGCAUUGGCUUGUGGCCAAUGCAGUGUUGCAGGGAAGCCGUUAAGUUUGCCGCCUGGGAAGUACGUACGCAAGUAUGAAACUUAAAGGAAUUGGCGGA